rnacentral:lncRNA from 1 species
CCCCCUAUAGGGUCCCAGAACCCCCCCCUAUAGGGCCCCAUAAAUACUGCCCCUAUAGGGCCCCGCAGCCCCUAUAGAGCCCCAUAAAUACCCUAUAGGGCCCCCGAGCCCCCUAUAUGGCCCUAUAGGACCCCAUAAAUACUGCCCCUAUAGGGCCCUACAGCCCCUAUAGGGCCCCAUAAAUACCCUAUAGGGCCCCCGAGCCCCCUAUAUGGCCCUAUAGCCCCUAUAGGGCCCCGUAAAUACCCUAUAGAGCCCCCGAGCCCCCUAUAUGGCCCUAUAGGGCCCCGUAAAUACUGCCCCUACAAAUACUGCCCCUAUAGGGCCCCCGCAGCCCCCUAUAUGGCCCUACAACCCCUAUAGGGCCCCAUAAAUACCCUAUAGGGCCCCCGAGCCCCCUAUAUGGCCCUAUAGGCCCUAUAGGGCCCCAUAAAUACUGACCCCAUAAAUACUGCCCCUAUAG